UACGAAGGGGGGCUAGCGUUGCUCGGAAUGACUGGGCGUAAAGGGCGCGUAGGCGGCGAUCACAGUCAGAUGUGAAAUUCCUGGGCUUAACCUGGGGGCUGCAUUUGAUACGUGGUUGCUUGAGUGGGGAAGAGGGUCGUGGAAUUCCCAGUGUAGAGGUGAAAUUCGUAGAUAUUGGGAAGAACACCGGUGGCGAAGGCGGCGACCUGGUCCUUGACUGACGCUGAGGCGCGAAAGCGUGGGGGAGCAAACAGG
rnacentral:rRNA from 1 species